ensembl:ncRNA ZK470.7 ncRNA
UUUCAAACCAUCAUAAAUAAACCCCCAAGGAGAAAAGGGGAGAAAACGGAAUUGAAACGUGUGUAUUUGUAUGUAUACAUUCUUUGUCUAAGGUUAUGUAUAUAUUUUUUCUUCUUUUGCCGUCUUCGCCUUC